rnacentral:rRNA from 1 species
UACGUAGGAGGCGAGCGUUGUCCGGAUUUACUGGGCGUAAAGCGCGCGCAGGCGGCACUGUAAGUAAGGUGUGAAAUCUCCCUGCUCAACGGGGAGGGUGCAUUUUAGACUGCAGAGCUAGAGGACGGUAGAGGGGGGUGGAAUUGCUGGUGUAGCGGUGAAAUGCGUAGAGAUCAGCAGGAACACCCGUGGCGAAGGCGGCCCCCUGGGCCGAACCUGACGCUGAGGCGCGAAAGCUAGGGGAGCGAACGGG